GACGAACCGUGCGAACGUUAUUCGGAAUCACUGGGCUUAAAGCGCGUGUAGGCGGGCCGCCGCGUCGGCUGCUGAAAUCCCCCGGCUCAACCGGGGAACGGGCACCGAUACGGGCGGCCUCGAGGGGGGUAGGGGGGCCUGGAACUUCCGGUGGAGCGGUGAAAUGCGUUGAGAUCGGAAGGAACGCCCGUGGCGAAAGCGAGGCCCUGGACCCUUUCUGACGCCUGAGACGCGAAAGCCAGGGGAGCGGAACGGG
rnacentral:rRNA from 1 species